GCACUGGUGGUUCAUUGGUAGAAUUCUCACCUUCCAUGCAGGAGACCCAGGUUUGAUUCCCUGCCAGUGCA
rnacentral:tRNA from 1 species